rnacentral:lncRNA from 1 species
CUAUUUGGUUUUGAACCUGUAAAAAUUGUACUAUGAUCUAUAUUGUAUAGUUAAAUAUUACAUAAUAUAAUUUAAUAUUACAUAUGCACUUUUUAUAUUUUGAUAUUUGGGUUUAGGGUUUAUAUUUGGAUUAGGGUUUAGUGAUUUGAGUUGAGGGUUUAGUAUUUAAAAGGUGAAGGGGUAUAGUUGGGGUCAGCAUUAACUUCUUCCAUGUAAUCAUAUACAUUUCAUAAUUUCACCAAUAUGUACUAUGUUAUUUAUUUUGUUUCAUUCUAUUUGGGUUUAGGAUUUAUAUUUGGGUUUAGGGUUUAUAUUUGGGUAAGGGUUUAAUGAUUAGAGUUUAGGGUCUAGUAUUUAGAAGGUGAGAGGGUAUGGUUGGGGUCAUCAUUAACUUCUUCUUGCGAUCAUAGAUAUUUCAUAAUUUCACCAAUAUGUACUAUGUUAUUUAUUUUAUUUUAUUAUGUUUGGAUUUAGGGUUUAUACUUUAUAUUUGGGUUUAGAUUUUAUAUUUUGGAUGGGUUUAGUGAUUAGAGUUUAGGGUUUAGUAUUUAAAAGGCGAGAGGGUAUGGUUAAGAUCAAGGUUAACUUCUUCCAUACAAUCAUGUGCAUUCCAUAAAUUCGGUAAUAUGUACUAUGUUAUUUGCUUUGUUCUAUUCUAUGUGGAUUUUGAAUUUAUAUUUGGGUUUAUGGUUUACAUUUGGAUAUAGAGUUUACUGAUUAGAUUUUAGUAUUUAGGGUUUGGGCUAAGAUUGAGAUAAAGUUUAGUAUCUAGGAUUGUGAAUCUGAUAUGUUUAGUAUUUAGGGCUUGUAAGUAGAGUUAUAAUCCUAUACUACAUCGGUGAUAUGGAAUAGAAUACUCGUGCAUAUGUAUGCGAUGAAUAAAAGUAUACGUGGGUGGUUCC